rnacentral:rRNA from 1 species
ACUCAAAUGAAUAGACGGGGGCCCGCACAAGCGGUGGAGCAUGUUGUUUAAUACGUCACUAACCGUAGAACCUUACCAGGGCUUGACAUCUGUGGACAUCCCAUGAAAGUGGGCUUUCUCCGCAAGGAGACCACAAGACAGGUGUUGCAUGGCUGUCGUCAGCUCGUGUCGUGAGAUGUUGGGUUAAGUCCCGCAACGAGCGCAACCCUCACCCCAUGUUGCCAGCGGAUCAUGCCGGGAACUCUUGGGGAACUGCCUGGGUAACCGGGAGGAAGGCGGGGAUGAUGUCAAGUCAGCAUGGCCCUUACGCCCUGGGCUACAAACAUGCUACAAUGGACGGUAGACAAAGGGAUCCGAUAUCGCGAGAUGGAGGCAAUCUCAAAAAUCCGUCCCCAGUUCAGAUCGCAGGCUGCAACUCGCCUGCGUGAAGUCGGAAUCGCUAGUAACCGCAGAUCAGCUAAGCUGCGGUGAAUACGUUCCCGGGCCUUGUACACACCGCCCGU